UUAAGUGACUAAGCGUACACGGUGGAUGCCUUGGCAGUCAGAGGCGAUGAAAGACGUAGUAACUUGCGAUAAGCCCAGAUUAGGUAGUAACAACCAUUUGAGUCUGGGAUUUCUGAAUGGGGAAACCCACGUGCAUAAGCACGUAUCCUUACCUGAAUACAUAGGGUAAGGAGGCGAACCGGGGGAACUGAAACAUCUAAGUACCCCGAGGAAAAGAAAUCAACCGAGAUUCCGAAAGUAGCGGCGAGCGAAAUUGGACUAGCCCUUAAGCUUUACACGCGUUAGACGAACGGUCUGGAAAGUCCGACGAUACAGGGUGAUAGUCCCGUAGUUGACGACGUGUGUUCAGUGAAAUCGAGUAGGGCGGGACACGUGAUAUCCUGUCUGAAUAUGGGGGGACCAUCCUCCAAGGCUAAAUACUACUGACUGACCGAUAGUGAACCAGUACCGUGAGGGAAAGGCGAAAAGAACCCCUGUGAGGGGAGUGAAAUAGAACCUGAAACCGUGUACGUACAAGCAGUAGGAGCAGGCUUUGUCCUGUGACUGCGUACCUUUUGUAUAAUGGGUCAGCGACUUAUAUUCAGUGGCAAGGUUAACCAUCUAGGGGAGCCGUAGGGAAACCGAGUCUUAACUGGGCGUUCAGUCUCUGGAUAUAGACCCGAAACCAGGUGAUCUAGCCAUGGGCAGGUUGAAGGUUGAGUAACAUCAACUGGAGGACCGAACCGACUAAUGUUGAAAAAUUAGCGGAUGACUUGUGGCUAGGGGUGAAAGGCCAAUCAAACCUGGAGAUAGCUGGUUCUCCCCGAAAGCUAUUUAGGUAGCGCCUCGGACGAAUACUACUGGGGGUAGAGCACUGUUAAGGCUAGGGGGUCAUCCCGACUUACCAACCCUUUGCAAACUCCGAAUACCAGUAAGUACUAUCCGGGAGACACACGGCGGGUGCUAACGUCCGUCGUGGAGAGGGAAACAACCCAGACCGCCAGCUAAGGUCCCAAAUUACUACUAAGUGGGAAACGAUGUGGGAAGGCUCAGACAGCCAGGAUGUUGGCUUAGAAGCAGCCAUCAUUUAAAGAAAGCGUAAUAGCUCACUGGUCGAGUCGGCCUGCGCGGAAGAUGUAACGGGGCUAAGUAGUAAACCGAAGCUGCGGCAAUGUGCUUUUGCACAUUGGGUAGGGGAGCGUUCUGUAAGCGGUUGAAGGUGUGUGGUAACGCAUGCUGGACGUAUCAGAAGUGCGAAUGCUGACAUGAGUAACGAUAAAGGGGGUGAAAAACCUCCUCGCCGGAAGACCAAGGGUUCCUGUCCAACGUUAAUCGGGGCAGGGUAAGUCGACCCCUAAGGCGAGGCCGAAAGGCGUAGUCGAUGGGAAACGGGUUAAUAUUCCCGUACUUCUUACAAUUGCGAUGGGGGGACGGAGAAGGCUAGGUGGGCCUGGCGACGGUUGUCCAGGUUCAAGUGCGUAGGCUUGAGAGUUAGGUAAAUCCGGCUCUUUUUAAGGCUGAGACACGACGUCGAGCCACUACGGUGGUGAAGUCAUUGAUGCCAUGCUUCCAGGAAAAGCCUCUAAGCUUCAGAUUGUAAGGAAUCGUACCCCAAACCGACACAGGUGGUCGGGUAGAGAAUACCAAGGCGCUUGAGAGAACUCGGGUGAAGGAACUAGGCAAAAUGGUACCGUAACUUCGGGAGAAGGUACGCUCUCGACGGUGAAGUCCCUCGCGGAUGGAGCUAUUGAGAGUCGCAGAUACCAGGUGGCUGCAACUGUUUAUUAAAAACACAGCACUGUGCAAAAUCGUAAGAUGACGUAUACGGUGUGACGCCUGCCCGGUGCCGGAAGGUUAAUUGAUGGGGUUAGACUUCGGUCGAAGCUCUUGAUCGAAGCCCCGGUAAACGGCGGCCGUAACUAUAACGGUCCUAAGGUAGCGAAAUUCCUUGUCGGGUAAGUUCCGACCUGCACGAAUGGCGUAAUGAUGGCCACGCUGUCUCCACCCGAGACUCAGUGAAAUUGAAAUCGCUGUGAAGAUGCAGUGUACCCGCGGCUAGACGGAAAGACCCCGUGAACCUUUACUACAGCUUGGCACUGAACAUUGACCCUACAUGUGUAGGAUAGGUGGGAGGCUUUGAAGCACGUACGCCAGUAUGUGUGGAGCCGUCCUUGAAAUACCACCCUUGUAGUGUUGAUGUUCUAACGUCGACCCCUUAUCGGGGUUGCGGACAGUGCCUGGUGGGUAGUUUGACUGGGGCGGUCUCCUCCCAAAGAGUAACGGAGGAGCACGAAGGUGGGCUAAUCACGGUUGGACAUCGUGAGGUUAGUGCAAUGGCAUAAGCCCGCUUGACUGCGAGAAUGACAAUUCGAGCAGGUGCGAAAGCAGGUCAUAGUGAUCCGGUGGUUCUGAAUGGAAGGGCCAUCGCUCAACGGAUAAAAGGUACUCCGGGGAUAACAGGCUGAUACCGCCCAAGAGUUCAUAUCGACGGCGGUGUUUGGCACCUCGAUGUCGGCUCAUCACAUCCUGGGGCUGAAGUCGGUCCCAAGGGUAUGGCUGUUCGCCAUUUAAAGUGGUACGCGAGCUGGGUUUAGAACGUCGUGAGACAGUUCGGUCCCUAUCUGCCGUGGGCGUUGGAAGAUUGAAGGGGGCUGCUCCUAGUACGAGAGGACCGGAGUGGACGAACCUCUGGUGUUCGGGUUGUGUCGCCAGACGCAUUGCCCGGUAGCUAAGUUCGGAAUCGAUAACCGCUGAAAGCAUCUAAGCGGGAAGCGAGCCCUGAGAUGAGUCUUCCCUGAUACUUUAAGUAUCCUAAAGGGUUGUCGGAGACUACGACGUUGAUAGGUCAGGUGUGUAAGUGCUGUGAGGCAUUGAGCUAACUGAUACUAAUUGCCCGUGAGGCUUAACCAU
rnacentral:rRNA from 3 species